AGUGAACGCUGGCGGUAGGCCUAACACAUGCAAGUCGAACGGCAGCACAGGAGAACUUGCUCUCUGGGUGGCGAGUGGCGGACGGGUGAGGAAUACAUCGGAAUCUACUCUGUCGUGGGGGAUAACGUAGGGAAACUUACGCUAAUACCGCAUACGACCUACGGGUGAAAGCAGGGGACCUUCGGGCCUUGCGCGAUUGAAUGAGCCGAUGUCGGAUUAGCUAGUUGGCGGGGUAAAGGCCCACCAAGGCGACGAUCCGUAGCUGGUCUGAGAGGAUGGUCAGCCACACUGGAACUGAGACACGGUCCAGACUCCUACGGGAGGCAGCAGUGGGGAAUAUUGGACAAUGGGCGCAAGCCUGAUCCAGCCAUACCGCGUGGGUGAAGAAGGCCUUCGGGUUGUAAAGCCCUUUUGUUGGGAAAGAAAUCCGGCUGGCUAAUACCCGGUUGGGAUGACGGUACCCAAAGAAUAAGCACCGGCUAACUUCGUGCCAGCCGCCGCAGUAA
rnacentral:rRNA from 1 species